AACGAACGCUGGCGGCAGGCCUAACACAUGCAAGUCGAACGUGAAGCCACCUUCGGGUGGUGGGAAGUGGCAGACGGGUGAGUAACGCGUGGGAACGUGCCUUUCGGUUCGGAAUAACCCAGGGAAACUUGGGCUAAUACCGGAUACGCCCUUCGGGGGAAAGAUUCAUCGCCGAAAGAUCGGCCCGCGUCGGAUUAGCUAGUUGGUAGGGUAAUGGCCUACCAAGGCGACGAUCCGUAGCUGGUCUGAGAGGAUGACCAGCCACACUGGGACUGAGACACGGCCCAGACUCCUACGGGAGGCAGCAGUGGGGAAUAUUGGACAAUGGGCGCAAGCCUGAUCCAGCCAUGCCGCGUGAGUGAUGAAGGCCCUAGGGUUGUAAAGCUCUUUCACCGGUGAAGAUAAUGACGGUAACCGGAGAAGAAGCCCCGGCUAACUUCGUGCCAGCAGCCGCCGUAACAC
rnacentral:rRNA from 1 species